GGGUUGUGAGGUUAAGUGACUAAGCGUACACGGUGGAUGCCUAGGCAGUCAGAGGCGAUGAAGGGCGUGCUAAUCUGCGAAAAGCGUCGGUAAGGUGAUAUGAACCGUUACAACCGGCGAUACCCGAAUGGGGAAACCCAGUGUGUUUCGACACACUAUCAUGUCAUGAAUACAUAGUGGCAUGAGGCGAACCGGGGGAACUGAAACAUCUAAGUACCCCGAGGAAAAGAAAUCAACCGAGAUUCCCCCAGUAGCGGCGAGCGAACGGGGAGGAGCCCAGAACCUGAAUCGGCUUGUGUGUUAGUGGAAGCGUCUGGAAAGUCGCGCAGCAAAGGGUGAUAGCCC
rnacentral:rRNA from 1 species